CGGGAAGUCCAAAAUGCGGCCGCUCUCCCCUUUCGCAAGGAGGGGGAGGGAGGAAAGUCCGGGCUCCACAGAGCAGGAUGCUGGCUAACGGCCAGUGGGGGCGACCCCAAGGAAAGUGCCACAGAAAACAUACCGCCGAUGGAGGGCCGCGCCGCAAGGGGCGGUGCUCACAGGCAAGGGUGAAAAGGUGGGGGCGCCGGUCCUGCGGGCGCCUUAAAGUAAGAGCCCACCGCACCCCUGGCGACAGGGGUGGCACGGAAAACCCCAUCCGGAGCAAGUCCAAAUAGGGCGGCGUUGAGGUUGCUCGCCGAGCCGCCGGGUAGGAUGCUACAGGGUGCCGGCAACGGCAUUCGCAGAUUAAUGGCCGCAACCGCCCCCAGGCUCCGGCAACGGCGUCCGGGGGCGGCACAGAACCCGGCUUAUCGAAGACUUCCCGUCUC
rnacentral:RNase_P_RNA from 1 species